rnacentral:rRNA from 1 species
UUUAUCAAAAACAUCGCCUCCUGCAGUAUAAAGUAUAGGAGGUCCAGCCUGCCCAGUGACUACGGGUUCAACGGCCGCGGUAUAUUGACCGUGCAAAGGUAGCGCAAUCACUUGUCUCUUAAAUAGAGACCUGUAUGAAUGGCUAGACGAGGGCUUAACUGUCUCCCCCUUCCAGUCAGUGAAAUUGAUCUAUCCGUGCAGAAGCGGGUAUAGUUCUACAAGACGAGAAGACCCUUUGGAGCUUAAGGUACAAAAUUCACCCAUGUUAAACAACUCCAUAGAAAGCAAGAACUUUAUGGGUAUGAAACUUUACCUUCGGUUGGGGCGACCACGGAGGAAAAACAAGCCUCCGAGUGGACUGGGCCAAAAUCCCUAAAGCUGAAAGAGACAUCUUUAAGCCGCAGAACAUCUGACCAAUAAUGAUCCGGCUAAAAAGCCGAUCAACGGACCAAGUUACCCUAGGGAUAACAGCGCAAUCCUCUCCCAGAGCCCAUAUCGACGAGGGGGUUUACGACCUCGAUGUUGGAUCAGGACAUCCUGGUGGUGCAGCCGCUAUUAAGGGUUCGUUUGUUCAACGAUUAAAGUCCUACGUGAUCUGAGUUCAGACCGG